rnacentral:rRNA from 1 species
UACGGGGGGGGCAAGCGUUGUUCGGAAUUACUGGGCGUAAAGGGCUCGUAGGUGGCCAACUAAGUCAGACGUGAAAUCCCUCGGCUCAACCGAGGAACUGCGACGGAUACUGCUUGGCUUGAGUCCCGGAGAGGGUAGCGGAAUUCCCAGUGUAGCGGUGAAAUGCGUAGAUAUUGGGAGGAACAUCGGUGGCGAAGGCGGCUACCUGGACGGGUACUGACGCUGAUGCGCGAAAGCUAGGGGAGCAAACAGG